AGGACGAACGCUGGCGGCGUGCUUAACACAUGCAAGUCGAGCGGUGAUCCUCCUUCGGGAGGUGAGCAGCGGCGAACGGGUGAGUAACACGUGGGCAACCUGCCCCUCACACUGGGAUAACCUCGGGAAACCGGGGCUAAUACCGGAUAUGACCUUCGAGGGCAUCCUCGAAGGUGUAAAGGAUUCUGGCUAGGGAUGGGCCCGCGGCCUAUCAGCUUGUUGGUGGGGUAAUGGCCUACCAAGGCGACGACGGGUA
rnacentral:rRNA from 1 species